CCUACGGGUGGCUGCAGUGGGGAAUAUUGGACAAUGGACGAAAGUCUGAUCCAGCAACGCCGUGUGAGCGAUGAAGGCCUUCGGGUCGUAAAGCUCUGUCAGAUGGAACGCGGUACUAUCAAAGGAAGCACCGGCUAACUCUGUGCCAGCAGCCGCGGUAAUACAGAGGGUGCUAGCGUUGUUCGGAAUUACUGGGCGUAAAGCGAACGUAGGUGGUCUUGUGUGUCUGGUGUGAAAGCCCACGGCUCAACCGUGGAAGUGCGCUAGAAACUGCAAGACUGGAGUGUAGGAGAGGAUGGUAGAAUUCUCAGUGUAGAGGUGAAAUUCGUAGAUACUGGGAGGAACACCGGUGGCGAAGGCGACCAUCUGGCUUAACUGACACUGAUGUUCGAAAGCGUGGGUAGCAAACAGGAUUAGAUACCCUUGUAGUC
rnacentral:rRNA from 1 species